rnacentral:rRNA from 1 species
UACGUAGGCAGCGAGCGUUGUUCGGAGUUACUGGGCGUAAAGAGUGCGUAGGCGGUUUUCUAAGUUUGGUGUGAAAUCUCCCGGCUUAACUGGGAGGGUGCGCCGAAGACUGGAAGGCUUGAGUAUGGGAGAGGUAAGCGGAAUUCCUGGUGUAGCGGUGAAAUGACGUAGAUACCAGGAGGAACGACCGGUGGCCGGAAGGCGGUUUCCUGGAGCCCAGUUC